UAACGGAUCGCGCAUGGAGCUAACUAUAUAGUAGCCAGAGGACCGUGUGUAAAAAGUUGGCGUUCAUGACUUCGCUAGUCAUAAUAUCUAAGGGAUACGGUAAAACCAUCUAUGUUCGACUAAGGCGCAAUCGAAAAUUCGAUCGUACGGGUUUGACUUGAUUGCGUUCGCGCCCUUCUGCUACGAGUUAAAACUAACAUACAAGUGCGUUUUCAUGAACUUGCAAUUGUUUAGUGUACGAAAGUGAUCGGAUUUCAAACGGU